AUUGAACGCUGGCGGCAGGCCUAACACAUGCAAGUCGAACGAGUGGCGGACGGGUGAGUAAUGUCUGGGAACCUGCCCGAUGGAGGGGGAUAACUACUGGAAACGGUAGCUAAUACCGCAUACCAUCGGAUGUGCCCCGAUGGGAUUAGCUAGUAGGUGGGGUAACGGCUCACCUGGGCGACGAUCCCUAGCUGGUCUGAGAGGAUGACCAGCCACACUGGAACUGAGACACGGUCCAGACUCCUACGGGAGGCAGCAGUGGGGAAUAUUGCACAAUGGGAGCAAGCCUGAUGCAGCCAUGCCGCGUGUAUGAAGAAGGCCUUCGGGUUGUAAAGUACUGUCAGCGAGGAGGCGUUAAGCGCAGAAGAAGCACCGGCUAACUCCGUGCCAGCAGCCGCGGUAAUAC
rnacentral:rRNA from 1 species